GCUGAUGGGGAACAUCUGCAGUCAGCCCAGCCAGGAGGUCAGCUGAUUUGGCAGAAAGGUUCUUUGGCUGUGCUGCUAAAAGAAGCUCUUCUGAUACAUCUCUGCUGGUACAGUUUAUUUCAGAAGAAAAAGAGAAGAAAGAAGAAAAGUAUUUGGGCAAUUGGGAAAUCCUGGUGCUUCUAAGAGAUAAGAGGUUCUCCACUGCCAGAAGCCAUCAGAGCCACCUGUCAUGACUUUGAGUCAAGCAGUCAUGGCCAACAUUCCAGUAUUUUCUGAAGAUCUUGGAAAAUGUUAUAGCUUCACAAAAGAGAAGGUGGAAAAGCUGUCAAAGACACACACUGCUGCUUUUAUUUUGGUGAGUAGAACAAGAAGCCAGAGGCUAGCAGCUCCCAGAGGUACCACAACACAUACCUUACAGCUGCCACCUAUAUGAAUGUACUCACCAUGUGCUGAGAGAAAGAUGCAAUUAACUAACCACAGUUUCUGCCUAGAAGUAUUGCAAU